AGUUACUAAGCCACCAGCCUUUGUUUUGAAAGCAAAUAAUAAGAAUCAAACUUCUUAGUAACUU
rnacentral:tRNA from 1 species